rnacentral:rRNA from 1 species
AAACGAACGGACGGGGAAGGACGACUAGUUGGGUUUUAAGUUUUAACGUUACGUAGUAGUAACGUACCGGACGGAACCGGUAACCCUUACCGGUCGGUCCGUACGAACGUAAGAUGACUGUAGGUGAAAGCUUACAUCUCUUCGGAGCAUUUUACGAGGUGCUGCAUGGUUGUCGUCAGCUCGUGCCGUGAGGUGUCGGGUUAAGUCCCAUAACGAGCGCAACCCCUACCUUUAGUUGCCAUCAGGUUAAGCUGGGGACUCUAAAGGAACUGCCUACGCAAGUAGUGAGGAAGGCGGGGAUGACGUCAAAUCAGCACGGCCCUUACGUCCAGGGCUACACACGUGCUACAAUGGCCGAUACAGAGGGCAGCUACCUGGUGACAGGAUGCAAAUCUCCAAAGUCGGUCUCAGUUCGGAUCGGAGUCUGCAACCCGACUCCGUGAAGUUGGAUUCGCUAGUAAUCGCGCAUCAGCCAUGGCGCGGUGAAUACGUUCCCGGGCCUU